GAUGAACGCUGGCGGCGUGCCUAAUACAUGCAAGUCGAGCGAACAGACGAGGAGCUUGCUCCUCUGACGUUAGCGGCGGACGGGUGAGUAACACGUGGAUAACCUACCUAUAAGACUGGGAUAACUUCGGGAAACCGGAGCUAAUACAGGAUAAUAUAUUGAACCGCAUGGUUCAAUAGUGAAAGACGGUUUUGCUGUCACUUAUUGAUGGAUCCGCGCCGCAUUAGCUAGUUGGUAAGGUAACGGCUUACCAAGGCAACGAUGCGUAGCCGACCUGAGAGGGUGAUCGGCCAGACUGGAACUGAGACACGGUCCAGACUCCUACGGGAGGCAGCAGUAGGGAAUCUUCCGCAAUGGGCGAAAGCCUGACGGAGCAACGCCGCGUGAGUGAUGAAGGUCUUCGGAUCGUAAAACUCUGUUAUUAGGGAAGAACAAAUGUGUAAGUAACUAUGCACGUCUUGACGGUACCUAAUCAGAAAGCCACGGCUAACUACGUG
rnacentral:rRNA from 1 species